GGCAAGGUGGCAGAUGGUUUAAUGCGCUAAAUUGUAAAUUUAUUUAUAAAGGUUUAAGUCCUUUCUUUGUCA
rnacentral:tRNA from 12 species